rnacentral:rRNA from 1 species
CUUGGGUCCGGCAUAACCCCGGGAAACUGGGGAUAAUUCCGGAUAACGCACAUAUGCUGGAAUGCUUUAUGCGUCAAAUGGAUUCGUCUGCCCAAGGAUGGGUCUGCGGCCUAUCAGGUAGUAGUGGGUGUAAUGUACCUACUAGCCGACGACGGGUACGGGUUGUGAGAGCAAGAGCCCGGAGAUGGAUUCUGAGACAUGAAUCCAGGCCCUACGGGGCGCAGCAGGCGCGAAAACUUUACAAUGCGGGAAACCGUGAUAAGGGGACACCGAGUGCCAGCAUCAUAUGCUGGCUGUCCGGGUGUGUAAAAUACACCUGUUAGCAAGGGCCGGGCAAGACCGGUGCCAGCCGCCGCGGUAACACCGGCGGCCCGAGUGGUGAUCGUGAUUAUUGGGUCUAAAGGGUCCGUAGCCGGUUUGGUCAGUCCUCCGGGAAAUCUGACGGCUUAACCGUUAGGCUUUCGGAGGAUACUGCCAGGCUUGGAACCGGGAGAGGUAAGAGGUACUACAGGGGUAGGAGUGAAAUCUUGUAAUCCCUGUGGGACCACCUGUGGCGAAGGCGUCUUACCAGAACGGGUUCGACGGUGAGGGACGAAAGCUGGGGGCACGAACCGGAUUAGAUACCCGGGUAGUCCCAGCCGUAAACGAUGCUCGCUAGGUGUCAGGCAUGGCGCGACCGUGUCUGGUGCCGUAGGGAAGCCGUGAAGCGAGCCACCUGGGAAGUACGGCCGCAAGGCUGAAACUUAAAGGAAUUGGCGGGGGAGCACAACAACGGGUGGAGCCUGCGGUUUAAUUGGACUCAACGCCGGACAACUCACCGGGGGCGACAGCAAUAUGUAGGUCAAGCUGAAGACUUUGCCUGAAUCGCUGAGAGGAGGUGCAUGG